AUGUUCCCAGAUCUGCUUGUACAGAGCAAUAUGAUGGCUGAGCGCAUGGUUCGUGAGAGGCGCUUUGCUGCUAACUACCCAAUGUGGGCCUCCAACAGUCACAAGUACUCAUUUCCCCUGAGCUAUACAGAGAGCACUGAAACAGGAGAUGGGGAGACCAAAGUUGGUGAGGACAAGUGUGAUGAGAAUCCUGAAACCGAAGAUAAGUCCACUUGGACUGAAGAUGUGUAUGUUUGGAACGUGGAUGAUGAUCCUGAAUUGGAUGUGGAAGAUUGGGAGGAGAGAUGUGAGAAACGUAGUGCUUAG
rnacentral:rRNA from 1 species